rnacentral:rRNA from 1 species
GACGAACGCUGGCGGCGUGCUUAACACAUGCAAGUCGAACGGAAAGGCCCUGCUUUUGUGGGGUGCUCGAGUGGCGAACGGGUGAGUAACACGUGAGUAACCUGCCCUUGACUUCGGGAUAACUUCAGGAAACUGGGGCUAAUACCGGAUAGGAGCUCCUGCUGCAUGGUGGGGGUUGGAAAGUUUCGGCGGUUGGGGAUGGACUCGCGGCUUAUCAGCUUGUUGGUGGGGUAGUGGCUUACCAAGGCUUUGACGGGUAGCCGGCCUGAGAGGGUGACCGGCCACAUUGGGACUGAGCUACGGCCCAGACUCCUACGGGAGGCAGCAGUGGGGAAUAUUGCACAAUGGGCGGAAGCCUGAUGCAGCAACGCCGCGUGCGGGAUGACGGCCUUCGGGUUGUAAACCGCUUUCGCCUGUGACGAAGCGUGAGUGACGGUAAUGGGUAAAGAAGCACCGGCUAACUACGUG